ensembl:lncRNA
UGCUUUCUCUCAGUCUCAAGAUCUGACCUCAGUGGAGCGGAGGCAUUUGCAAUUCACUGAGAGGAAAAAUUCCAUUGAGCCAGCAGCCCUAAUGCUGUGAAUACCCGCAGCUGCUGCAGCUCUGCCUGCUGGAUGGUGCAGUAACGUGGAACCUUAACAACAGGAAGAAAAACUGUGGAGUUCUUCCAAGAAUUUUUCAAUUUCCACAGAUGAAAAUAUAGUCUAAACCAGAUGCCAGCUGAAACGCACUCACUUCGUACCACCUCGCCAAGGCAGCGCGCCACGGGCUCAGCAAUGUGACCUUUAAAAUAGCCUUUCUAGAACACACUGCUAAGAGCACUUUCUAAAAAGCCACAAUUGCAGCUACUCUUAUUACUCAUAAUGUCUUUGAUGGAGAGGAAUACUCAGGGAACUUCAGCUUCAGCAACCCGGUAGAGUCAGUUCUGUGCAGCGGAGGCUUCCUUCGUGGCAUUACAGACUUGAGACCACGAUGAGAGCGUUGGUGAUAAUGAACAUUUCCUAAAGCAUUACUUGUAUAAGAUUAAAAUGAAAUAAAAGCAGUGAAACCUUUGCUUUGCCCAUGUGAAAGAAUGGCUCUGCCACUUAGCCAUUCGUUCCUAGAAGUGGAUACGUAUACCUGUGCCUUCUCCAUGUAUUUGUAAGUCUAACAAAUACUAUACACACAAAUAUACACCAAUGUUAUGCAAAAUGCAUUCAGGCAAUGUAUUUCAAAUCAAUGAAUAUUUUGAGUCAUCAGCCUAAAUGGUGUUUGUAGAUGCAUAAUUGCACGCUACUUUCUGGGAUUUUUUGUAGUAUUCUGAGUGGCGUUGAGCCGCCACUUCAUUAAAACUGUCCCUUGGGAUCCAAUUCUUUGGGUUUGUUUUUGCAUGUGCCAGGAAAUUCGGACCCUGAUUUCUGUAUGGCCACCACUGCCAUGCUGGUGCACUGCCGGCCGGCGGCACUGUGUGGCACUGCAUGGCCCUGGUGGGCACAGGGAGCAGAAUAACAUGAGAUCCAGUUUGCUUUGGUCGGUCCAGGAGAGACUUCACAGCAGCAGUGAUGGGAC